GCGCGCCCUGCCCGCUGGGACCUGCUCCUCCGCCCGGGCUGAGGAGAAAAUUCACUUGGAUUUUUAUGCACUCUUCUGCAAGAAUAAGCCAGCAUCACUUUUUCCUCCCAGUGUGGCAGAAAUCUGAAGGACUUUUCAUCUCCAGAGUACAGCGAUUAGAUGGCAUAUGGAUGGCUUCUUAUACAGGACGAAGUCUGGCCUCUCGGAGCCACGCAUCUCAGAGAUAAAUGGGCCACUGUGGAAAACCAGCUGUCACAGAUGUCCAGCUGACUGCAGUGACACAAUGCCGGGCCUGGACUUGCCAGCUCACAGCGUGUGAGGCUGUGACAACAAGAUAUAAGCAAGAACAAGAGCUGAGAAAUGCAUUUUUUCUUGCAUUACAACUGCACUUCUUACCAGCCCCUUAUUUUCCAGCGUUCAACCCAACUGCAUUAAGCAGCCUGCUGCCAAUAACUGAAUAUUAUUUGAGAAAACAAGUUGAAAUCAAUUCUGCCUUUCUCAGUAGUUACAAUAUAUAAGCAAAUACUUCGUUAGGCUGAAAUUUUAAAGUACACCAGAGACCUUUUCUUUUUUCCUGCCAGGUUUUUUGUUCAAGUGGGUUGAAGUUGGCAGUAACUUGAGCUAGACAAGAGCCAGAUUUCCUUUUUCUGGAAAAGUCUGCAGCUUCUAUUUAUUUCUCUGUUCUGAAAGGGAAUUACAAGAGACGCUUUCAGACCUUCCCAUGAAAUUCUGUUAUGGAAAAAUAAACAUUAGGAAAGGCUUUUUUUUUAACCUGUGUGAGUGAAGGUACAGUAUCAGCUCUUUGUUUUGCUCCACUGUGUUGCUUGAGCAAGGGAGAUCUUUCUGUAUGCACACUGUCUUAUUCCUUUCAACAUCCUGAGGUGUCAGAAAUUAAUGAAUGUGGGAAAAUGUGUAAGAAAUCCUUUUGAGGUUAAGAACCUCAAGAUCUCUGGCUUGUAUUCACAUUGAAUCAGAUAGUUUCACGCAACAUCAGAGCACACAGCACAUAGUGUUCCAAAGGUCUGAGGAACAGGGAAGGACAGAGUCAAGCCUUAGGUGAUGAUUUCAGGGCAGGUGAACCCGAGUGCUGAGAGCAUAGGGUUUCAGUGGUUCACACAAGAUAACACAGGAAUUUGGGAAUUGGGAGAACUAGGUCACUUUUUCCAUUCUUCUUCACACUUUUUUUUCAGUUUCAUCAAUCUGUUUUGACAUACUCUCCCCUCCUUAUAUUAAUACUAUAUUUUACUUAAAGUUAAAACCCUAGAUUACAAAAUUCUGAAUGAGAAGAGCCUGAUGUCUGUAGGAAUUUUGCUGGAUUUUUUUCUGUACUUCUCAGUAUGCAUGAAGUGAGUUAUGUAACUUUUUGCCUCGGUGGUUGGCCAGUGUGUGAGAUCUAUGGUUUAUUUCUGUCAAAAUAUUGGUAGGAAGUGAUCUGUCUUUGUGGACAUUCUUUGUAAUCAAAAUGGGAUUAAACUGCAGUCCUGUUUCCCUGAAUGAAGCAGGAAAAUAGACAAAAGGAAACAGCUCCUUUUGUGGUAAUCCAAGCCUCUCAGUUCAGGCAGCAGUGCCCUCAGAAAACUCUCUCCUUUUCUCUUGUGCUCAGGAUCAUUCUACAAAAUGUCCUACUGAUUUCCAUCUUUGCCUGCAUUUGGUCUUCAGGUGCGUUUUGCUCUCUUCUAGCUCAGAAUAAUUAUAAGAAGAACGGAAGUGCUUUUUAACAGCAUAAACUAAGCCUUAAACAGAGGAUAUAACAAGUGUCAUUUCUUACUGUCUGAUGUAGGCAAACCUGUGUUUUACUACACUGAACAUUUUAACUCCUGGAUUCCAACAUUUUCCAGUUAGUAAUCCCUAAUCCUCAUCAUGCAUGUGAACACCAUAAUCUGAAGUGGGCAUUUAGUGCAAGAACCAGACUGUAUGGCUGUUACUUUUGGCUGUGAAAGCCCCGGAGAGCUGCUUAAUUUUGCCUAUUACCAGGCAAUUGGAAAAGAAUUUUUCAUCCCACCCCCAGAAAUCAGGAAUACGCAUCAGCGUAACGUGAUUUCUUUUUAGAGCCUUCCACUAGAUUUGGCAAUAGCUUCAGUAUUCAUUAUUAAUUAUCCUAUACUGCAUUUUGCAACAAUAUCUGUGCUAGUGUUGCUAGAACUCCUUGCAGCAUGUAUCCAUAAAACUUCUGUAAAAGGAGCAGUGAAGGCAGAGGGAUAAUGACGUAUGCAGAUGACUGCAGUAGGGUAUUGAAGUUCCAGUGUAUUUUUAUUCAAAAGCAAAUGUCUAAUUCAAAAAUAUUGGGUGGAAACUGGAUCUGUAAUUACGUUCACAAAUUGAGAGGUCCUCUUUUGGAGCUUAAUCUAAACAAUAUAGAGAAUGUAGGUUUCUGAAUGCCACAGGAAACAUCAAAGCUGACCACACAGAUUUUGGUGGUCCAGGAAAAGGAGGAGGGAUUGGAUUCUGAAGCAGUGAUCAUCAGCAUAGCUCAGUUGGAGCUUUUUAUUGAUGUAUGCAAGUUGAAAAUCGUUUUAUGACUUCAAGUUGCAUAGAAACAAAGCAAACCAAAGAAACUGUUAUGAAAGCAGCCGUCCAGGAAAACAUGGGGGAAGAGAAGUACAGUGA